UCCGACGCCGCCGCCCGCCCCGCCGCCUCCCCGGGGAGGAUGCUCCGGCUCGGCUGCGCACUCAGGCGGCUCGGGGCGGGACCUGGUGCUCGGGCCUCCGGCCGGCUCCCUGCUGGCGCCGAGAUGCCGAAGAAAGCUGGUGCGACGAGCAAGGGUAAAAGCCAGAGCAAGGAGCCAGAGCAAGCGCUGCCUCCCUUAGGCCCCGUGGCAGUGGAUGCCAAAGGCUGUGUCACCAUAGCCAUCCACGCCAAGCCGGGCGCUAAGCACAAUGCCGUGACAGAUUUGACAACCGAAGCUGUGAGUGUCGCCAUUGCAGCACCUCCAUCGGAAGGGGAGGCUAACGCUGAGCUCUGUCGGUAUCUCUCCAAGGUCUUAGAACUCAGGAAGAGUGAUGUGGUUUUAGAUAAGGGCAGUAAAUCUCGUGAAAAAGUGGUGAAGCUUUUGGCCUCCACAACUCCAGAGGAGGUCUUGGAGAAAUUGGAAAAGCAAGUUGAAAAAAAAUAAAAUCAACGGGAACAAAUCCUCGGGGGAGAAUGAACAAAACCAACCAAGUGCGAGCGAAGAGCUAGAAUCUAGCUGCUGCUAGAUGAUGACACGAAGGCGUGUCCUCGGGGCCUGCAACGCCAAUGAGCCUGCUCCAGCACGAGCAACAACUUCACGUUCUUGCCCGAUGAAAUACAAGCGCACCGCCUUUCAGAUCUGUGCCCCAACAUUAGUUUAUUUACCACAAAUAAAACCACACCGAGCUCUUCUGGCUGCAGGCGGCUGCCUGGGAAAGGACUCAGCAGAAUGGGGUUGCGCUGCCCCAGGAGGUGAGACAGAGGAAGGUAAGGACUGGAAGCCACCGCGAUGGUCACUCCCCCGCAAAGCCCAACGGAACCGGUCUCCCAGGGGCGCACCGUGGACGUCCAGCGCGGAGGAAACGACUGGCCGUGAAGGGUAAGGAGCUUCCGAUCUGGCGAAAGCGCCCGGACCUGGAACCGCAGACCGAGGACACCGCGGCUCCACCGCCUCCCUCCUUCCCGGCGCCCAAACCGGCAACUCACCCGCCCAGCGCGGUGUCGCCUCAGCUCGGGCCGAGCUCGGCGGGCGAAACGCGCAGGAAACCCACCUCCGGCCCCCCACGCGUCAGAGCGACUCCACACUCACCUCACCUCCCCGAGGUAGCGGAGCCACUCCUGUCAGACGGAAUCCGACAGCCCCGACUUCCGCUUCCGGCGAGCUCCGCGCAGGUGCGCCUGUCAAGUCUCGCGAUAGGUGGGGCGCGGCGUGCGGCGGUUUCCACAGUUGAACCGUCGGCGGAGCCAACCGCCGAACGCGACUCUCUUGCGAUGACGGGACCUGUGCGCUCGGCGCCUGCCGGGCGGCCGUGCAGGAAAAGACGUCGCCGGGUAUUAAGUCCCCGUGACUGGGAGCCGGUGGCGGAGUCAUGUCCUUGGGCCUGUUGAUGCACAUGCAGAAGAUCGCCCGUUGUCAGCCUCACUUUGACCCAGGGAUCUGGAGGUGGAGUAGACCACCAGUAGGCCUGGCGAAUCCUGGCAUGGAGAGAGCCCUGCUUUCAGAGGCAGCGAGGGACCUUGGACAAUGACCGUUUUAAAGAGGGUUAAACUGAGGCUGAGGAGGGCAUAUGAUUUAUUCAAGGGCACAGCUGCCACACUAAGCGACUUUACUGCGGCUGCACAGCCCAGGCUCUCCGACUGCACAGUGGGAGUGGACCCCCAGAAGGCAGAGGCUCUGUUCCGGCAGCUUCUCCACCAGAAAGUGAACUCCACAAGGAGGUGGUCGGACGCCCCGCAGCUUCAUUUCAUCGAGUCCUUUCCAGUAUUUAAAAUUGUUGUCCAGGUGCUGCAGUGACUCCUGUAGGUCAACAAAGUCGUCCCAAGCAUGGUACAUGUCUGUGACGAAGGAGUCGAUGGAGAUCUGGGACUUGGGGAAGCUGCAGGUGUUUCGGUCAAAAGCUGGCAUCGCCACAGGUAAGUCCAGCUUCUUUUCUUCUUCGGUCUGAGAAAAAUACUCCUCCGAGAUGCGUGCAGCCCACUCGAUGCACUGCUCCAGGGGCCGGCAGGGGUUGGACACGUCCGCGCACUUGAUCAUCAGCCGCUUGAUCAGAGUCCGGUUCUCUGGAGACCGGAGCAUCGUGUCUACGUCAGGAGGGUUUGGCUCACUCCCCUCGCUUUCCUCCAGCUCUGCCAAGGCCUUGACGACGCUGUUGACAAACUUAUGGAUGUGCUCGAAGUGCCUGGUCAUCUCUGUGGCCAAGACCAUGUCGAUGAUGGCCUGGCGCAGCGUCCGGUAGUCAUUCCUCCACAUUCUUGAAGAUGUUGCUCUUGUCCUCCCUGGCGGCCAGCUGGAAGGCCAGGGCCGCGUGGUGGCUCUCCGACACGGCACAGUCACACAGCACCGCCAGCGGGCUGCCCGCGUUGCACGGGAAGAGGUUGGUCCUCCCCGGGGGGUCCAGGUCGUGGAUGGCGGCUGUGAUGAGGGCGGCGGCCUUGUCCACUGAGCCUAACGCUUGCUUGAUCCUCUCCUGGCAGAGGAAGUAGGCAGUGGCGUGCAGCACGUCGGCAGCGGGGGUGGAGCUGUGGGUAGGGGUUGGAGGAGUGGUAGUUGGCUUCCAUAGUCUGCAGCCACAGCCGCAGCGUCGUCUCCGAGCACUUCAAGAAGUCACAGACCCCAAGGCCAGCGAAGAUUUUGAGACCAAGAAAAGUCAAAGGCCUUUUCUGAGUGGCAGUCUCCAGUUCAAAGACAUUAAAGUCCCAGUUGUCAUCGUUUUCCAUGGCCUCAGCUAUGCGCGGUGGGAUGUCGUGAAGGGACUUGGAGGUGAGUCAGCUGCCCGAAAUUUGAUGCAGGUUUUUUGUGGAGAGAGUAUACUCAUUCCCAGACAGUCUUCGAAAACCGUCAGACAUCAGGCCCCCAGUGAGGUCCUUGGUGUGAGGAUCCUCUUCCCUCACCCCGAACUGUGGUGAAUACAGCUCCGAGGUUCUCAGAAUUUCCAGGACGCGGUCUAAGGCUUCCGUCACAGGCAUGGAGCUGUUCUCCUGGGCAGCACUGAUGAUAUUGAUCACCUUGGUGAUGGGCGCCUCGGUGGUCAUGGAGUGGAUCCGGGCCAUGGAGGAGCGUCGCCUCUGGCUGGCCACUGUGGGCGGGUCAGAAUGAACAGAUUCCGUGAUCUUCUCAGCCUUACUGUUGCCGUUGUUCACUCGGAUGAUGGACACAUAGUGUCCAAUUUUUCCUCCCUGUCCAAUGACAGGUAUUACUUCACAUUUUGUGGUACAUUAUCUCCGUUUUUGGCGUGGUAAACGCCUUGCCACUCCUGUAUGUAGUUGUCCUCACUCGUGAUUUUAAUGGCGUCUUGGCUGUUCUCCAGUGCAGUGAGUACUGAAUUACAAGCCCUGAGUUCCAGCUGUGACCGCCCCUCUCCAAACUCCAGCUGCAGCAGCUCUGCACAACAGGCCCGGAGGCUGGGGUUCUCCACGAACCUCCUCCUAAAGCCGGCACGAAUGAGGGACAUCACAGACUCUUCUCCAUCCCGCCUGCGUACUACACCAGCAAUAACUGUGUUUUCUGAAACUUUUGUUGCUCCAAUAGACCUGCACAGCGUCAGGGCGUCCAGCUGCUGGGGGCUUCUGUGGUCGAUGAUGAUGAUGUCCUGAUUUGCAGCCAGGAAACAGGUCAGGACAGCCUGGACCUCCAGGGCCACCGUGUACUUAAACCCUGCUUUUUCACACGCCUUACGGAGUCCUUCACACUGGCUAUCUUCUCUGACAAACGCCAACAGUACCUGUUGAUCUGCAUGGGUGCAGAAACCUCAUGGGGCCAAACUGCACGUGAGAUGUUGGACUCCACUGAUAAUGAGAACAAGGUGCCCUGAAGUUGUGGAGAGCUUUGGACACAGGAGCCACGGUGAUCUUUAAAACAACAGAAGCCAGAUCAUGGUAUCCCCCAGCCUGCCGGAGCAUUUGGAUACAUCACAAAUCCUUAACCUGGCCGCAGGGUCCUGUGUACGCCUCCCAACCCAUCCCAUGCCUUGCUAGGCUCACAGCUUUCUAACCCCAGGAGCCUCCUUCCGGUUCCUCAAAACUGCCCAGUUCUCCCAUCCAAGUACUAACCAGGCCCGACCCUGCUUAGCUUCCGAGAUCAGACGAGAUCGGGCGCGUUCAGGGUGGUAUGGCCGUGUACAAAACUGCCCAGUUCUGUGCCACCUCAGGCCUGUGGGCAGUUUCCUCUGCCUGGGACCUUUUCCCUCCACUCUGUGCCCGGCUAAUGCUUGUUUGUUCUUCAGGCCUCUUCUUAGAUGCCUGUUCAAAGAAGCCGUUACUCACCAGCCCUCUCAGCCAACAUUAGGACUCCUUUAUUCACACAGAUCAUACUUUCUACAUUUGUGUGAUUAUUUGACUAAUAUAUUUUACCCCCAAAAAACGGUGUUUAUUUUGCUGAGCACUUUAUCCCUAGUGCCCAGCACAGUACCCGAUGCGUAGUAGGUGAUCAAUAUUUGUUUGAAAUAAUAUUUUUUUCUGUUGCUAUAUGGUCUUCAAAACUAUAAUCUAAGAGCUGCAUAAUACCGGAUAGUUAUCCCUUUAAUGGCUUUCAUAAGACAUUUGUUUCAUAUGCAGCUGAAAGAAUUGAAGUCUAAUGGUCAAGAGAGAAAAAUGUUCAAAGUCUCUGGACCAGCCAGCAGUAUCAGAAAUCUGAACACACUAAUAAUAACAUUAUAUGUGUACAUGGUGAGCCUCAUUUUGCUGUUGAAAG